AGACGGCUCAUUGUUCUCCACCAAACUGGGGAUGUCUCUACUUUGGCAGUUUUGUCUUCCUGCAGCCGGAGAGCUGAUCAGUCACUGCUGUUCCAGUCCCCAGAAUAGAGCAUGUACUCCAAAUUUGUGUUUACAGAUACCAAAAUAAAAACCCUAACUCAGUUUGCAAGAAAAGGUAAGGCAAGCCCAUUUGUACUUGUACCAUUUGCUUAUUUAUUUAUACAUAUUUGUUCAGAAAGAUAAAAAACAGACAGGAGCCUACACUUUACCGUAGAAUACUAGGCAGCCAGUGACACAAGAAUAGACUCAAGAACAGCAAGUGGCCACUAAUGUAAUGAUAAAAUUGAUUCACAAAUCAUUUAUUGUCUAGAACACCUGCCAUCAAGUGUUUGCAUUCCUUUACUGUCCAAUAUUAAAUUGGAUAAACCUUUGCUGUACAAUAAAUUAUAUACAGAUGCGUAAUUUUAAACAACGAACACGUGUAGAUUGGUUAAACUUUUCCAUACUGCUGUGAGUUGGCUGUCAGUGGGCAGUGGGAGCUUCCCACCAGUUUCAUUCGGGCUGUUGAAAAUCUCAUCCUUCAGUGGUCAUUUGCAGAUAGAUCUAAUGCUUCUCACCUGGUUUUGAAUAUCCUGUUUCAUUUCCAUUUCACCUUGCUUGCUCUGUACAAUACCACUUGUCUGAGAGGUAAUUUUCUGUCUAAUGGAAUACUAACUUUUAAAUAAUUUCAUUCAAAAAUUGACUUUUUUUUUCUUUUUCAGGUCAGUGAAAGGCAAAGAUCAGACAAAGGAAUGACAGAUCACAUCUAUUGCAAUACUCUUUGACAAACUAGUUAGAAAUUAUGAUUAGUAUUGCAUAAAGAAACUACUGUGACCAUAUUAUAAAUGGUAUUCCUUUACUGAAAUAGAAUUGACAAGUAGAUUAAUUUAUAUAAAAGAAUAUGUAGUUUUUAAAGUUUCUAUCCUUAUGAAUGUAAUGAAACAGAUUUUUUUUAAUGUUACAUAAUAUGCAAGUGAUAUAUUUUGGAACAUGUGAUAACAUGCUCAAACUCUUUCUAGACUAUAAAACUCUCACCAGAACUUUAAAAGCAGAUCUUUCAGAGCCCUAAAUCCAUUGGAAAAUAAAACUUUGGGAAAAGCGCACUAAAAAAAACCCGCAAGUGUUCCCUCAAAGCCUUUUAAACAAAAGUAGAGAAAAGAAAAAGCAUUUAAAUCUUUUGCUUUUUUUUUAAUGCAGUCUAAAAGAACAACAUCCUCCUAUCUCCUAGUUUGUGGAUAAAGAGAGCAUAUUUGCCUUUUGCCUCUUCCUGCUAAAAUCAGCCAGCGCAGUUAUCUGGUGGGUGAAGUCACCUGGGUAUAUGGUAUGGUGAAAAUAGCUCCAAGAAAUCUUUUGUUUUCUCUUCCCUUUAGAAGACAACGUGUUCCCUGUUCUCAAGAUUGUCUUUAUGAAACUGUCCAUGGGAUGACUACGUUAAAGAAGGAGAACUAGCAGGGAGAAAAGGAUGUGUGCUAGACACAAAGACUGUGCUUUGCCUUGUGUGAAGAACCCAACCAGUGUAACCUGGGACUGCCCUAGAAAAACCACGAAAGCCAUGAGAGCAGCCCUGAAAGUCCAGGAAUUGAACUCUGCCUCCGGCAAGACACAGGAGUGUAACAGGGACCCAAAGCAAAGCAAAAGACUAAAACCUGGGGAUAUUUUGAAUAACGAGAACAUCUGCAGAUUUUGAUUCCUCCCCUAGAAGAUCUGGUUCUGGUUAGCAAUGAAGAUUGCAAGAGAUGAACGACUACCCUGCUGGAGAUGCUCGUAUUCCAUUCAGUAGAGAGGCUUGCUUGUUUCUCAACGCUUCAGAAAAGAAACGACUAUUGUGUUUGGUUUGGAAUGAAUGAAUAUAAUCUCAAAUCUUUUGUUUGCUUUGCUGUGAGAUGUGCCAUUUUCUCAAAUGAAAGCCCGGUGUAUUUGCAGAGCAGGCAGCAGAGGAGCUGAGAAAAAGCACGUCGAGUUCCCAGAGGUACAAGUGGACUUGUUUGUAUUUAUGGGUAAAUCAACAACAAGCUGAUGUGAUUAAACAGUGACUCCAUCAGUGACUUGGCCCUGUUCUUUUCUCCAUCUGGUAGAAAAGACAAGAAAUUUUCUCCUGGACAUAUGGCACUGAAGCUCCAGUUAACCAAGGGAAAGAAGAUAAACACCAUGCAAACAUUGGGCCAAGCACCACCAUAUAGGUUAAGAUGAGAACAGAUCCAAACAAAUACUACCCAGAGACCCCUUACUGUCUUUGAAGACUGCAGUGAUUUUUUAAAUAACGCUGUAUAAAAAUGACAUAUGUGAAACGCAAAGAAAUUUGUUGGAGACUUGAAACGCUUAAGAAUGUUUAAGCUGAUACUUCCUUACAUGACAAGAGUGAAAAUAGACCGAGCAUCAGUUACACUCGAUGGAAACCCCCUAACAUCAACAGAACCAGUAGAGACCCCAGGUCCUUUAUCUUACCUCUCAGACAGUAGUUUGGCAGCUCUAUAUAUGAUAAUGUAAGAAUAAUUGCUUAUUACAUUUCUGCUGUAACAUACAAGCAUUGUGUAAUUCAGCAUUAAUGUCUGACAACCCAGCUGUCAUCUUUCCAAAAAUACUUGCUGUCUAACUACUUGCUUCUACUUCAAACCAAAGGAAGACAUUCCGCUCCGGGGCAUUUUGACAGGGUGUUAUCUUUUGAAAAGACAGAUGUUUGUGCUGGAACUGUCUGAUAGUUUUAAGGCUUAUGCACAUGUUUCAAUAAAUAAGUGCUAAAUUACUUGCCAGGUCCUGAGUUAAAGUUCAGGCUGGGGCGUCUUCUAGAGAAAUAUAUCGGUGACACACAAGACGAAGAGCAGCAUGUUCACACAAAAAGUUUCAAAUCACCUUUCAAGCAACACAGAAAGCCAAGAAGCUCUGGCUUUAAGGCUUUCUUGUAUGUGAAAGGACACCGAGAAUGUGUGAAAUAGAUGGAGUUGCCAUUCUCUGCCCUUCUCCAUUUCAUCUCCCAAGAGAAAUACUUCAGAGGGUGGGCAAAUAAUUCCUCACCUUAUAAGGGAUUUUAUUAUUUGAAGUAGUGCGAUAGUCCUUAUUGACCCAACUUUGAUUUGUAAGCUGAUGAUGAAAUUAAUUUGGCCUUUGGUAUAACCACAAUUAACUUCUCCGGAAGGGAGGUGAUACGAUGUCUUGCAGUAAAAAACAU